CCUACGGGAGGCAGCAGUGGGGAAUAUUGCACAAUGGGGGGAACCCUGAUGCAGUGACGCCGCGUGAGUGAAGAAGUAUUUCGGUAUGUAAAGCUCUAUCAGCAGGGAAGAAGAUGACGGUACCUGACUAAGAAGCCCCGGCUAACUACGUGCCAGCAGCCGCGGUAAUACGUAGGGGGCAAGCGUUAUCCGGAUUUACUGGGUGUAAAGGGAGCGUAGACGGAGGUGCAAGUCCGGAGUGAAAGCCCAGGGCUUAACCAUGGUACUGCUCUGGAAACUGUGGUGCUUGAGUGCUGGAGGGGCAGGCGGAAUUCCUAGUGUAGCGGUGAAAUGCGUAGAUAUUAGGAGGAACACCAGCGGCGAAGGCGGCCUGCUGGACCGUAACUGACGUUGAGGCUCGAAAGCGUGGGGAGCAAACAGGAUUAGAUACCCUGGUAGUC
rnacentral:rRNA from 1 species